GUCCCUGUAGCGCAAAAGAUAGCGCGUUGUACUUCUAACACAAAGGUCGUGGGUACGAAUCCCACCUGGGAUG